rnacentral:rRNA from 1 species
CCUACGGGUGGCAGCAGUGGGGAAUAUUGGGCAAUGGAGGAAACUCUGACCCAGCAACGCCGCGUGAAGGAUGAAGGUUUUCGGAUUGUAAACUUCUGUCGCGAGGGAUGAAGAAUGACGGUACCUCGUAAGACAGCCCCGGCUAACUACGUGCCAGCAGCCGCGGUAAUACGUAGGGGGCAAGCGUUAUCCGGAUUUACUGGGUGUAAAGGGAGCGUAGACGGUGAGACAAGUCUGAAGUGAAAGCCCGGGGCUCAACCCCGGGACUGCUUUGGAAACUGCCUGACUGGAGUGCUGGAGAGGCAAGCGGAAUUCCUAGUGUAGCGGUGAAAUGCGUAGAUAUUAGGAAGAACACCAGUGGCGAAGGCGGCUUGCUGGACAGUAACUGACGUUGAGGCUCGAAAGCGUGGGGAGCAAACAGGAUUAGAUACCCCAGUAGUC